ACAAAAAACCAUCCAAAGAGGAGCUUGUCGAGAAGAAAAAGAAAAACAAAAAGAAAAACAAGGCUAAAGAGUCCCAUGGAGAAGAAGCAACUCCAUGUCAAAUUGAUAAACCUAUUGAAAAUAAGAAGCUAUCUUCAAGGCUACUUGCUGGAUCAUGCUAUUUUCAACUCACCCUGUUCUCUUUUAUGACCUAUUGAAGCACAAUGGUCCUCUUCUACCCCCCAACAGCAGCAUUAGCCCUAACAUUAUGGCCCCAAUUCCACCUUUGUUGGGCCUACCGUGAAGAAGCACAAGUUGGGGAGAUUGAAGCAAAAUGUAGGAAGAUAAUCACGUAGAAUUACAAAAUUUAAA